GUAGGUGAACCUGCGGAAGGAUCAUUAUAAAAUAUUGCGUGCUCUACCUGAGGACGUGAGCUGGGUUUAAUCGCAAAUGCAAGAGAAAAUUUUUGGAGGUAGUUUGGAGAUCCAAACGAUGUCGGAUGUAAUGCGUCAACCCUUCGUAUCCCUUGCUUUAGGUGACUUGACAUUGCCCAGCAGAAGUCAACCUACUAAGCAUGCGAAGGGGGGUCAGUUUAGCAUGGAUGGUAUACUGAGAGGUCAUGGG
rnacentral:misc_RNA from 1 species